AUUGAACGCUGGCGGCAGGCCUAACACAUGCAAGUCGAACGCUGUAGCAAUACAGAGUGGCAGACGGGUGAGUAACACGUGGGAAUCUUCCUAUCGGUACGGAAUAGCUCAGGGAAACUUGGGGUAAUACCGCAUACGCCCUUCGGGGGAAAGAUUUAUCGCCGAUAGAUGAGCCCGCGUCUGAUUAGCUAGUUGGUGAGGUAAUGGCUCACCAAGGCGACGAUCAGUAGCUGGUCUGAGAGGAUGACCAGCCACACUGGGACUGAGACACGGCCCAGACUCCUACGGGAGGCAGCAGUGGGGAAUAUUGGACAAUGGGCGCAAGCCUGAUCCAGCCAUGCCGCGUGAGUGACGAAGGUCUUCGGAUUGUAAAGCUCUUUUGGCGGGGACGAUAACGACGGUACCCGCAGAAUAAGCCCCGGCUAACUUCGUGCCAGCAGCCGCCGUAAAAC
rnacentral:rRNA from 1 species